UGCAAGAGGAGUACCUGGACCAGGUAUACGGGCAGAUGUGCUUUAAGAUAGUUAAAGCACCGAGAGGAGCAGUGAUUUCUUCAUAACUCACCAGAUCUCUCGCACAGUUGGACUAGAGAAUCUCAUUAAGACCAAUAAUAGAAAAUGUCUGGUGUAAUGAAACUGUUUGGAAAAGACGACAAAGACAAGGAUAUGCACAAAGAUAAAGACAAGGAUAAAGCCAAGAAGCAUGGAGAGACAAAAGA